rnacentral:rRNA from 1 species
CCUACGGGUGGCAGCAGUGAGGAAUAUUGGGCAAUGGGCGCGAGCCUGAACCAGCCAAGUAGCGUGAAUGAUGACUGCCCUACGGGUUGUAAACUUCUUUUAUAAAGGAAUAAAGUGAGGCACGUGUGCCUUUUUGUAUGUACUUUAUGAAUAAGGAUCGGCUAACUCCGUUCCAGCAGCCGCGGUAAUAAGGAGGGUCCGAGCGUUAUCCGGAUUUAUUGGGUUUAAAGGUAGAGUAGAUGGGUUGUUAAGUCAGUUGUGAAAGGUUGCGGCUCAACCGUAAAAUGGCAAUUGAUACUGGCAGUCUUGAGUACAGGUGAGGAAGGCGGAAUUCGUGGUGUAGCGGUGAAAUGCUUAGAUAUCACGAAGAACUCCGAGUGCGAAGGCAGCUUACUAAACUGCCACUGACAUUGAUGCUCGAAAGUGUGGGUAUCAAACAGGAUUAGAUACCCCUGUAGUC